ACGCUGGCGGCGUGCUUAACACAUGCAAGUCGAACGAAAAUACCAAGCUUGCUUGGUUGAUUAGUGGCGAACGGGUGAGUAACACGUGAGUAACCUGCCCCUUACUUUCUGGAUAACUGCUCGAAAGGGUAGCUAAUACGGGAUAUUCUGGCCUUCCUGCAUGGGUUGGUUUGGAAAGGUUUUUUCUGGUGAGGGAUGGGCUCGCGGCCUAUCAGCUUGUUGGUGGGGUGAUGGCCUACCAAGGCUUUGACGGGUAGCCGGCCUGAGAGGGUGGACGGUCACACUGGGACUGAGAUACGGCCCAGACUCCUACGGGAGGCAGCAGUGGGGAAUAUUGCACAAUGGGCGCAAGCCUGAUGCAGCGACACCGCGUGAGGGAUGAAGGCCUUCGGGUUGUAAACCUCUUUCGUCAGGGAACAAGGCACUGCUUUUGGUGGUGUUGAGGGUACCUGGAUAAGAAGCGCCGGCUAACUACGUGCCAGCAGCCGCGGUAAUACGUAGGGCGCAAGCGUUGUCCGGAAUUAUUGGGCGUAAAGAGCUCGUAGGCGGCUGGACGCGUCUGUCGUGAAAACUUCCGGCUCAACCGGGGGCUUGCGGUGGGUACGGGCCGGCUAGAGUGCGGUAGGGGUAACUGGUACUCCUGGUGUAGCGGUGGAAUGCGCAGAUAUCAGGAAGAACACCGAUGGCGAAGGCAGGUUACUGGGCCGUUACUGACGCUGAGGAGCGAAAGCGUGGGGAGCGAACAGGAUUAGAUACCCUGGUAGUCCACGCUGUAAACGUUGGGCACUAGGUGUGAGGCUCCUUUCCGGGGGUUUUGCGCCGUAGCUAACGCAUUAAGUGCCCCGCCUGGGGAGUACGGCCGCAAGGCUAAAACUCAAAGGAAUUGACGGGGGCCCGCACAAG
rnacentral:rRNA from 1 species